CAAACGACUCUCGGCAACGGAUAUCUCGGCUCACGCAUCAAUGAAGAACGUAGCAAAAUGCGAUACUUGGUGUGAAUUGCAGAAUCCCGUGAACCAUCGAGUUUUUGAACGCAAGUUGCGCCCGAAGCCUUCUGGCCGAGGGCACGUCUGCCUGGGCGUCACAC
rnacentral:rRNA from 1 species